rnacentral:misc_RNA from 1 species
GAAAUGCGAUAAGUAAUGUGAAUUGCAGAAUUCAGUGAAUCAUCGAAUCUUUGAACGCACAUUGCGCCCGCCAGUAUUCUGGCGGGCAUGCCUGUUCGAGCGUCAUUUCAACCAUCAAGCCCCCGGCUUGUGUUGGGGACCUGCGGCUGCCCGCAGGCCCUGAAAAACAGUGGCGGGCUCGCUGUCACACCGAGCGUAGUAGCAUACAUUCUCGCUCAGGGCGUGCUGCGGGUUCCGGCCGUUAAACGACCUUCAUAACCCAAGGUUGACCUCGGAUCAGGUAGGAAGACCCGCUGAACUGAAG